GCCAGGCAUGGUGGUGCAUGCCUGUAAUCCCAGCUACUGGGGAGGCUGAGGCAGGAGAAUCGAUUGAACCCAGGAGGCAGAGGUUGCAGUGAGCUGAGAUUGCACCACUGCACUCCAGCCUGGAUGACAGAGCGAGAUUCUGUCUCAA
rnacentral:SRP_RNA from 1 species